rnacentral:rRNA from 1 species
CCUACGGGUGGCAGCAGUGGGGAAUAUUGGACAAUGGGGGCAACCCUGAUCCAGCCAUGCCGCGUGUGUGAAGAAGGCCCUCGGGUUGUAAAGCACUUUCAGUGAGGAAGAACGCCUGGUGGUUAAUACCCAUCAGGAAAGACAUCACUCACAGAAGAAGCACCGGCUAACUCCGUGCCAGCAGCCGCGGUAAUACGGAGGGUGCGAGCGUUAAUCGGAAUUACUGGGCGUAAAGCGCGCGUAUGUGGCUUGAUAAGCCGGUUGUGAAAGCCCCGGGCUCAACCUGGGAACGGCAUCCGGAACUGUCAAGCUAGAGUGCAGGAGAGGAAGGUAGAAUUCCCGGUGUAGCGGUGAAAUGCGUAGAGAUCGGGAGGAAUACCAGUGGCGAAGGCGGCCUUCUGGACUGACACUGACACUGAGGUGCGAAAGCGUGGGUAGCAAACAGGAUUAGAUACCCUUGUAGUC